UACAGAGGUCUCAAGCGUUGUUCGGAUUCAUUGGGCGUAAAGGGUGCGUAGGCGGCGCGGUAAGUCGGAUGUGAAAUCCCGGAGCUUAACUUCGAAACUGCAUUCGAUACUGCCGUGCUUGAGGACUGGAGAGGAGACUGGAAUUUACGGUGUAGCGGUGAAAAUGCGUAGAUAUCGUAAGGAAGACCAGUGGCGAAGGCGGGUCUCUGGACAGUUCCUGACGCUGAGGCACGAAGGCCAGGGGAGCAAACGGG
rnacentral:rRNA from 1 species